rnacentral:rRNA from 1 species
UUUACAACUCCCAAACCCAAUGUGAACGUUACCAAACUGUUGCCUCGGCGGGAACUCAUGCCCCGGGUGCGUCGCAGCCCCGGACCAAGGCGCCCGCCGGAGGACCAACCAAAACUCUUUUUGUAUACCCCCUCGCGGGUUUUUUAUAAUCUGAGCCUUCUCGGCGCCUCUCGUAGGCGUUUCGAAAAUGAAUCAAAACUUUCAACAACGGAUCUCUUGGUUCUGGCAUCGAUGAAGAACGCAGCGAAAUGCGAUAAGUAAUGUGAAUUGCAGAAUUCAGUGAAUCAUCGAAUCUUUGAACGCACAUUGCGCCCGCCAGUAUUCUGGCGGGCAUGCCUGUCCGAGCGUCAUUUCAACCCUCGAACCCCUCCGGGGGGUCGGCGUUGGGGAUCGGCCUCCCUCUGCGGGGGCCGUCUCCGAAAUACAGUGGCGGUCUCGCCGCAGCCUCUCCUGCGCAGUAGUUUGCACACUCGCAUCGGGAGCGCGGCGCGUCCACAGCCGUUAAACACCCAACUUCUGAAAUGUUGACCUCGGAUCAGGUAGGAAUACCCGCUGAACUUAAGCAUAUCAAUAAGCGGAGGAAAAAANCCAACNCA